AUUGAACGCUGGCGGCAUGAUUUACACAUGCAAGUCGAACGGUAACAGGCCGCAAGGUGCUGACGAGUGGCGCACGGGUGAGUAAUGCAUCGGAACGUGCCCAGUCGUGGGGGAUAACUACUCGAAAGAGUAGCUAAUACCGCAUACGAUCUAUGGAUGAAAGCGGGGGACCGUAAGGCCUCGCGCGAUUGGAGCGGCCGAUGUCAGAUUAGGUAGUUGGUGGGGUAAAGGCUCACCAAGCCAACGAUCUGUAGCUGGUCUGAGAGGACGACCAGCCACACUGGGACUGAGACACGGCCCAGACUCCUACGGGAGGCAGCAGUGGGGAAUUUUGGACAAAGGGCGCAAGCCUGAUCCAGCAAUGCCGCGUGCAGGAAGAAGGCCUUCGGGUUGUAAACUGCUUUUGUACGGAACGAAACGGCUCUGGUUAAUACCCGGGGCUAAUGACGGUACCGUAAGAAUAAGCACUGGCUAACUACGUG
rnacentral:rRNA from 1 species